rnacentral:rRNA from 1 species
GACGAACGCUGGCGGCGUGCUUAACACAUGCAAGUCGAACGGAAAGGCCCUGCUUUUGUGGGGUGCUCGAGUGGCGAACGGGUGAGUAACACGUGAGUAACCUGCCCUUGACUUUGGGAUAACUUCAGGAAACUGGGGCUAAUACCGGAUAGGAGCUCCUGCUGCAUGGUGGGGGUUGGAAAGUUUCGGCGGUUGGGGAUGGACUCGCGGCUUAUCAGCUUGUUGGUGGGGUAGUGGCUUACCAAGGCUUUGACGGGUAGCCGGCCUGAGAGGGUGACCGGCAAAAUUGGGACUGGGAUACGGCCCAGACUCGUACGGGAGGAAGAAGUGGGGAUUAUUGCACAAUGGGCGGAGGCCUGAUGCAGCAACGCCGCGGGCGGGAUGACGGCCUCCGGGUUGUAAACGGCUUUCGCCGGUGACGAAGCGUGAGUGACGGUAUUGGGUAAAGAAGCACCGGCUAAUUACGU